GACGAACGCUGGCGGCGUGCUUAACACAUGCAAGUCGAACGGAAAGGCCUGUCCUUCCUUGUGUUGGACGGGUACUCGAGUGGCGAACGGGUGAGUAACACGUGAGUGAUCUGCCCCCAACUUGGGUAUAAGCCUGGGAAACUGGGUCUAAUUCCCGAUAGGACUGCAGGGUGGUGUCUGUGGUGGAAAACGAUUUUCUAGUGGUUGGGGAUGAGCUCGCGGCCUAUCAGCUUGUUGGUGGGGUAAUGGCCUACCAAGGCGGCGACGGGUAGCCGGCCUGGGAGGGUGGACGGCCACAUUGGGACUGGGAUACGGCCCAGACGCCUACGGGAGGCAGCAGUGGGGAAUAUUGCACAAUGGGCGGAAGCCUGAUGCAGCGACGCCGCGUGGGGGAUGACGGCCUUCGGGUUGUAAACUCCUUUCGACCGCGAGGAAGCCGCCUGGUUGGAAGGGUGGUGACGGUAGUGGUAGAAGAAGCACCGGCUAACUACGUG
rnacentral:rRNA from 1 species